CCAAGUUUGACUCAUUGGGUAUUAAACAAGAGCGAGAAUUCGUUUUAAUAUUUUUGAUUUUGUAAACAGUGACGAAAAUGUUCCCCUACUACGCACGUUGGUAGCUACCUAAUUGUUUUAAAGCAAAUUACGCUAAUUACGUCAGUCCCUAAACACACUAGGCUAGCUUUUUAUUCAGUCAAAAUGCAUUUCACUAUGGCAAUUGGUGACCCAAUAAAAAAAUGACCUGUGUACCAUUUUGGGUCUUGACCCAAAGUUUGGGAACCCCUGCAUUUUAGAGGCUAAUUUGCUGUUCGAAGGCCAUGCCGGUUGUGAAGAGCAGAAGGCAGAUGUCCUACAUAAAGUUAUGACUCCAGGCCGAACCCACUACACUUAAGCCCAUCCAUCGAAGAGUGGCAGGAGGAUGGCCGUGCCAGUAAUUAAUAGAGAAGGACAUUCACUGCUGCCGGCCCCGCUGUCACGAUGAGAGAUUCAUCGGCAUACAUGCUCACACACUGGCUACAGUACAUAUGUGGCAUUAUUGUCCAUCAUUAUUCCUCUCAUUCCUCCUUUCAACAAUUUGUCACCACACUGUCUUGUGUUGACGUGCAAUCACACAAAUAGAUUCAUAUGGCAACAUGUUUCCUGUAUAUUUGUUUGUGUGUGUUUAAAGGCAUGAACUAGAAACUAGACUGAAUUUGACCAACCAAAUGAGACAGCUUCAAGUGCCACAAAUAUUUUAACCAUGUUUUUUUACAUCUGUUAUGCCUCUAUGAUGAUCUCAAAGUCAGACAAAUUCAAUGCAAAGCAGUG